rnacentral:rRNA from 1 species
GGCUUAACACAUGCAAGUCGAGGGGCAGCAUGGUCUUAGCUUGCUAAGGCUGAUGGCGACCGGCGCACGGGUGAGUAACACGUAUCCAACCUGCCGUCUACUCUUGGCCAGCCUUCUGAAAGGAAGAUUAAUCCAGGAUGGCAUCAUGAGUUCACAUGUCCGCAUGAUUAAAGGUAUUUUCCGGUAGACGAUGGGGAUGCGUUCCAUUAGAUAGUAGGCGGGGUAACGGCCCACCUAGUCAACGAUGGAUAGGGGUUCUGAGAGGAAGGUCCCCCACAUUGGAACUGAGACACGGUCCAAACUCCUACGGGAGGCAGCAGUGAGGAAUAUUGGUCAAUGGGCGAUGGCCUGAACCAGCCAAGUAGCGUGAAGGAUGACUGCCCUAUGGGUUGUAAACUUCUUUUAUAAAGGAAUAAAGUCGGGUAUGCAUACCCGUUUGCAUGUACUUUAUGAAUAAGGAUCGGCUAACUCCGUGCCAGCAGCCGCGGUAAUACGGAGGAUCCGAGCGUUAUCCGGAUUUAUUGGGUUUAAAGGGAGCGUAGAUGGAUGUUUAAGUCAGUUGUGAAAGUUUGCGGCUCAACCGUAAAAUUGCAGUUGAUACUGGAUGUCUUGAGUGCAGUUGAGGCAGGCGGAAUUCGUGGUGUAGCGGUGAAAUGCUUAGAUAUCACGAAGAACUCCGAUUGCGAAGGCAGCCUGCUAAGC